GAACCCUAAUCCCUUUUCCCUCGCGCCCCCUCUCCCUCUGCCACUCGCGCUCGACGCCGCUGCCGCCACCGCGUCGGCGGCGGCGGCGCGCACCGGUGCCUCGCCAAGUUUCACGUCGACGCCCGAGGACCAGAUCGAGCCGGGACGCCCUCGAAGCGUCACCACCAACUGUCUUCUCCGCCACGGUCGUCGCCGCCUCUCCGCUCGAUUCGCCGCCUACGAGCCUCCCCCGAGCCCGCUGCCCUCCCCUACAGAUUCGCCGUGAGCUCCUCCUCCGAAUCCUCCUCAUCCCUGUCUCGAUCCGUCACCGUAGUCUCCUGUACGAACCAGCGGCCGCCAUGGCCGAAGCUCAGCAUACGCGUACGCGCCCCUGCUUGGCUCUGCGCUCGUGCUGCUCCUGUGUGCUCCUUCUGCGGGCCGCGCCCCGUGCCCGCCCGCGGCCGCUGCUGCUCCUACUGAUGUGCGUCUGCUGCCCUGCGCCUCGCCCGCGCGUGUGCCCGCCGCGGCCUAGCAGCGUCCGGCCGCGCUGCUGCCGGUUACUGUAACUGCUGAUGCUGCUUGCUGCCCGCUAGUCACUGAUGCUCUGCUGCGCUGCUGCUGCCGCGUUGAGCUGCUGCCGCUGCUGCUCAACCACGUUGAGCUCACGCGAGGCCAUGGCAAACACAACCCGAUGGCUGGCUAUGUCCCUGCUAUGUAUGGCCGGCCCUUUGUAAUUAGCGUAUGUGUGUGUUCUGUGUGUGUGAGGCCGGCCCCUAUUCAAUUAGUUUAGGGUUAAUUAUUACUGUUAGAUUAGCUACUACCCUAUGGCAGGUGGACCCCUUCCUCUAAAUUUCCACUUAAAAAGAAAAUGCUAAAAUAUGUGUGAAUGACACCUGGGUCCCAUUGGUCCCAUUGACCAGUCAAACUGCUGACUCGGAUAACCCAGUCAAUGACAUCCGGGUCCCCUGGGCCCUUUGACUAGUCAACGGUCUUAGUUGAGUGCUGACUAGGCAGUCAACUGGACCCCACCUGCCAGCCACUAAUGCCACUGCCGUGUACACUUAGCAAUUAUGUAUUAAUUUAUUUUCGAAUUAAAAUAAUUUCAAAAAAUUAGAAAAUCAUUUAAAAAUUUAAAAAUUCAUAGAAAAUAAUCCGUAAUUUGGAUGAAAAAGUUUUCUACAUGAAAGUUGCUCAGAACGACGAGAUGAAUCUAAAUACGUGAUCUGUUCGUCCGCCACAUGUCUCUAGCAUAGCGAACAUGCAACCUUUCCCCUCCGGUUUGUCUGUCCGAAAAUGCCUAACUCCGGGAAAACUUUCUUGGAUGUUAUAUUUCUUCCCCGGUAUCGCGUAGCACUGCGUUAGAACACCUCUAGCACCAUUUUUUUAUCUUGUCAUGCUUAGUAUUGUGCUUGUUUGCCGUGUAUUUAUUGUUUCUUCCCCUCUUCUCUCCGGUAGACCUCGAGACUGAUGCUGCCGCCGAGUAUGACUGCGCCCUGACAAUCAGUACUUUUUAGCAGAGCUUCCAGGAAGCCCCCCUUUGAUCAUCCCAAUAUCGACCAUUCCAUUCUCUCAUGCUUGCAUUAGAUUUUGCUACUGUAAUUGAUUGCUCCUAUUCUGAUGCAUAGCCUGCUUUUGUACCUGUUGUUGUACCUUACCUGCUUAUCCUAAACUGCUCAAUAUAGGUUGGCUAGUGAUCCAUCACUGACCCCCACCUUUUCCUUGUUGCCCUUGCUUCGUCAUCAACGACUCGAUCUACGUGAUCGACGACCAGAGCCCGGCACCUCACAUCAUAUCACGCCCUUUAGUUGCUCGACUCUGCAGAGUUAUCAUCGAGUGCCGAGGGUGACACCUCAUACAUCACUCCUGAUGAGAUCUCUGUAGUGUAGCUAUUCGGUCGUGGUCAACAAGGAUGGUUCCUCCUUCACCAUUCCCGAUACGGCUCUGUCGUGCAACCCCUCAAGUGUGAACCUCGAGGGUGGUUCCUCUUACGUUCACCUUGAUGAUUACAUUGAGUGGAAUCCAUCGUGGGUGAUUCCUCGGGUUUUCCCCUUGAUGUUUGAGCACGCGGUUACCUUGAUUUUACUUGAGACCUUGGUGGAAGUCGGGCGGGCUCGGAUAGCACCCGCAAGAUGGUUACAAGGCAUGGCCGGGCAGGCCGCCCCCGAGUCAGCUGGGCUAGCCCUUGCCGUAUUUCCUCAAGACGGGGCGACGGGGUCACCUUAUCGUGAGUCUCUGCUCGUCUCCGCAAGCUAAUAAUACAUUAUGGUUUGGAUAUUUGUUCUGAGAUGGCCUUUAUGCACUAACCACCACGCGAGAAUAGUUAUGGGCCUCGACAUCGUAGUAUCAGCCGAAGCUUUGUCAGACGUCCAGUUCAGCGUCGUGGGCCUGUCGGGCCAGUGCCAUCUAGUAUGAGGUGGUGCUCAUCCCGGCUUGUCGCACAACGACCCGGAGUACUGCGGGCGAUGGGCCCAAGACCCCGGAGUGCUUAGGAUGUAGAUCGGCAGGGACCUCUCUGCUGAGCCUAGGUAGGGCUAUGAUGUGUUGACCUUCAGAGGCCGGGCAUUGGCCCCAGAAAGGUGUGUCCGGCCAGAGUGAUCAAGCGUGUUGGGUAACGUGGUGCACCCCUGCAGGGAAGAUUAUCUGUUAAUAGCUGUGUCCACGGUAACGGACGUUCAGACUUAUAUCUUGAUCUUAUACAACUACAAAUGGAUACUUGAGAUAUGUGGCUCCGAGAUUGCUUUCCCGCAGGGAGUCGGGGAAGGAUCUCUGGGCAUUAAUAUUACAACAUAUUUGUUAAUUAAACUUCUAUUCUUACUCUCCUACAUGCUGGGAACCUAUAGAAGUUUCCCAAAACCGGGAGCGCUGGAACGGUUAAACGGGCCGGCCCGUUGCCUCGCUGCUCGGUCGCUCGUCUGUGCGAAGCGCCGGCAGUUUGACGCAACGAGCGGCAUAUAGGAUUUCCCAACACCGAUGGCCGCCACGGCACCGGCCAUCGCCGUGGCGACUACCCCGGCGACCUGGGCGCCUAUAAGACCUACCUCGUCGCCUCCCUCGCGCCACCGAACCCUAAUCCCUUUUCCCUCGCGCCCCCUCUCCCUCUGCAACUCGCGCCCGACGCCGCUGCCGUCACCGCGUCGUCGUCGUCGCCGUGCACCGGUGCCUCCCCAAGUUUCACGUCGACGUCCAGGAGGUCCGCGGCGGCUGGCUUCGUCCGUCCCGAGGACCAGAUCGAGCCGGGACGCCCUUGAAACGUCGCCACCAAAUGUCUUCUCCACCACGGUCGUCGCCGCCUCUCCGCUUGAUUCGCCGCCUACGAGCCUCCCCCGAGCCCGCUGCCCUCCCCUACAGAUUCGCCGUGAGCUCCUCCUCCAAAUCCCCCUCAUACCUGUCUCGAUCCGUCACUGUAGUCUCCUGUACGAACCAGCGGCCGCCAUGGCAGAAGCUCAGCAUACGCGUACGCGCCCCUGCUUGGUUCUGCGCUCGUGCUGCUCCUGUGUGCUCCUUCUGCGGGCCGCGCCCCGCGCCCGCCCGCGGCCGCUGCUGCUCCUACUGUUGUGCGUAUGCUGCCCUGCGCCUCGCCCACGCGUGUGCCCGCCGUGGCCUAGCAGCGCCCGGCCGCGCUGCUGCCGGAUACUGCUUCUGCUGUAUCGCUGCCUCUGCUGCCCGUAACUGCUGAUGCUGCUUGCUGCCCGCUAGUCGCUGAUGCUCUGCCGCGUUGAGCUGCUGCCGCUGCUGCUCAACCACGUUGAGCUCACGCGAGGCCAUGGCAAACACAACCCGAUGGCUGGCUAUGUCCCUGCUAUGUAUGGAUGGCCCUUUGUAAUUAGUGUACUACUCCCUCCGUUCCGAUUUACUCGUCGUGGUUUUAGUUUAGUUUUGAACUAAAACCACGACGAGUAAAUCGGAACGGAGGGAGUAGAUCAUAAAGGCGCGCGUUGCCGCGCCCAUCCAUUUGAAUAGAAAAUCCAGAAUUGUAAAAAUACCUGUUGGAAUUUGCACAGUACAAAUAUCUAGGAAAUAUGAGUGCUUAAAAUUGCAACACCUAAAAUCCUACAUGUCAUCAAUAAUCUCUACAUUAACCAAGGAGCAAUUACAUAAAAUAAUUCAGAGGUAAAGAAACAAUCAAAUGUAGAAUAUAGAGCUUGCUAACAUAAGUAGUAAAAAUGGUUUCAAGGAGCGUAGUUUAACAAAAGAAAUGGGCACACGUAAUCUGUUUCUAAAUUUGCAUAUAACCAAUAAAGCUAAUGCAUGAAUAUCAUGUAAGGAACUGUGCGUAGUACCUGAACUUCCCAAUCUUGCAAAUUAAACUUCCUAGCUAUGCCAUUGCGUCAAGUAAAUAGCUAAGAUUUCAGCCUUCACGAUUGAUGUCCAAAGUGAAAGAAUCUGGUACAAAAUGAGAAAAUCAACAUUAAAACCGGAGAUUGCAGAUCAGAUAAGGGCCGUCAAGAGGAUACAGGAAUAGCAGGAUCGUCUAAUCUCUGCAAUGACGAUGGUAUGGACUUUGUAAGACGAAUGGCGUUUAGGGAGCAACGUGGGACGCCGACAACUUUCACAGCAAUACCUUCGAAAUAGGUGAAGUCGCUGGGAAAGGUACUCAGGUCACUUGUUACACAGGGGGGCAGGAGCAUAGCGCAACCUUCCAGUGCGUCGAUGGUAAGCCUGAACGCCGUGGGCCGCUGCGUCGGGUUUGGACCAACUCUACAUGAUUGUGCAUCGCCUCCGCCUGUUACUCCUUUCCACCUUGGUUACUCCUUUCCACCUUGCCAGAGAAAGAAGCAACGUCGAUGCCGUGGCCGUUGCCACCGGCAUAUAAGAUGGGAAUCUCACUGGAUAACGCAUCAUGAUUGCCUAGGGCACCAUCACCACAGUAGGGAGAAAGCGGAGCAGGAAAGAGAAGGUUAGCGGCGUACCACUAAAAGCCAACUCGCCGCUGGUGCGCUGUCGUCCUCUUUUGCCACGGUCCUCUAUUGAAUCUCCUCCUUCCGCACCGCCGCCGUAUCAGAGUCAUCGCCCAUCACAGACCUUUUCCUUUUUUUUUUGAGAGCAGCCCAGCACUGACUAACGGACCCGGAUCGAUCCCGGCUAACCACAGGCCACCAUAGUGGAUCUGCGGAGUAGCGGCCCGGCUACCGUGGGCCGAGCGGAUCGCGAGACUGCCGCGUUGACAAAUUGCUACAAGUGAUCGCAAGCAUGACCAGGAGAUCUAAAUCAUGAUCCUCAAAAAAAAAAGGAGAUCUAAAUCAUUCGUUAGUGUGAUACGACGGCUAUGGACAUCAAACCGCUGUGAGAGGGCGUAGCUAGCGGACGAGGCUCCUCUGACGUACUGCAGGGUGCAGUUGGGCCACUGACAGGUGGGCCCGAAAACAAGUUGGCCCACCUGUCAGCGACCCAACUGCACCCUGCAGUACGUCAGGGAAGCCGAGUCCGUAGCUAGCCCCGAUUUACUGUUUCUCAAUGUGUGUGUUCUGUGUGUGUGAGGCCGGCCCCUAUUCAAUUAGUUUAGGGUUAAUUAUUACUAGUUAGAUUAGCUACUACCCUAUGGCAGGUGGACCCCCUCCUCUAAAUUUCCACUUAAAAAAAUGCUAAAAUAUGUGUGAAUGACACCUGGGUCCCACUGGUCCCAUUGACCAGUCAAACUGCUGAAUGGGAUAACCCAGUCAAUGACAUCCGGGUCCCCUGGGCCCCCACCUGCCAGCCACUAAAUCCACUGCCGUGUACGCUUCUCUAUGUACACUUAGCAAUUACAUAUUAAUUUGUUUUCGAAUUAAAAUAAUUCCAGAAAAUUAGAAAAUCAUUUAAAAAUUUAAAAAUUCAUAGAAAAUAAUCCGUAACUCGAAUGAAAAAGUUUUCUACAUGAAAGUUGCUCAGAACGACGAGAUGAAUCUAAAUACGCGAUCUGUUCGUCCGCCACACGUCUCUAGCAUAGCGAACAUGCAACAUUUUCCCUCCGGUUCGUCUGUCCGAAAAUACCUAACUCGGGGAAAACUUUCUUGGAUGUUAUCCCUCUUCCCCGGUAUUGAAAAGCACUGCGUUAGAACACCUCUAGCACCAUUUUUUCUGUCUUGUCAUGCUUAGUAUUGUGCUUGUUUGACGUGUAUUUACUGUUUCUUCCCCUCUUCUCUCCGGUAGACCUCGAGACUGACGUUGCCGCCGAGGACGACUACGCUCUGACGAUCAGUACUUUUCAGCAGAGCUUCCAGGCAAGCCCCCCCUUUGAUCAUCCCGAUAUCGCCCAUUCCAUUCUCUCAUGCUUGCAUUAGAUUUUGCUACUGUAAUUGAUUGCUCCUAUUCUGAUGCAUAGCAUGCUUUAGUACCUGUUGUUGUACCUUACCUGCUUAUCCUAAAUUGCUUAGUAUAGGUUGGCAAGUGAUCCAUCAGUGAUCCCCACCUUGAUUGCUCCUAUUCUGAUGCAUAACAUGCUUUAGUACCUGUUGUUGUACCUUACCUGCUUAUCCUAAACUGCUUAGUAUAGGUUGGCAAGUGAUCCAUCAGUGAUCCCCACCUUGUCUUUGUUGCCCUUGCUUCGUCAUCAACGACUCGAUCGACGUGAUCGACGACCAGAGCCUGGCACCUCACAUCACAUCACGCCCUUUUGUUGCUCGACUCUGCAGAGUUACCAUCGAGUGCCGAGCGUGACACCUCAUACAUCACUCUUGAUGAGAUCUCUGUAGUGUAGCUAUUCGGUCGUGGUCAAUGAGGGUGGUUCCUCCUUCACCAUUCCCGAUACGGAUCUGUCGUGCAACCCCUCAAGUGUGAACCUCGAGGGUGGUUCCUCUUACGUUCACCUUGAUCAUUACAUUGAGUGGAAUCCACAAUGGGUUAUUCCUCGGGUUUUUCCCUUGAUAUUUGAACACACGGUUACCUUGACUUUACUUGAGACCUUGGUGGAAGUCGGGCGGGCUCGGAGAGCACCCGCAAGAUGGUUACGAAGCACGGCCAGGCAGGCAGGCCGCCCCCGAGUGGGCUGGGCUAGCCCUUGCCAUAUUUCCUCGAGACGGGGCGACGGGGUCACCUUAUCAUGAGUCUCUGCUCAUCUCCGCAAGCUAAUAAUACACUAUGGUUUGGAUAUUUGUUCUGAGUUGGCAUUUGGCCUUUACGCACUAACCACCACGCGAGAAUAGUUAUGGGUCUCGACGUCGUAGUAUCAGCCGAAGCUUUGUUAGACGUCCAGUUCAGCAUCGUGGGCCUGCCAGGCCAGUGCCAUCUAGUAUGAGGUGGUGCUCGUCUCGGCUCGUCGCACAACGACCCGGAGUACUGCGGGCGAAUGGCCCAAGACCCCAGAGUGCUUAGGAUGUAGACCGGCAGGGACCUCUCUGCUGAGCCUAGGUAGGGCUGCGAUGUGUUGAUCUUUCGAGGCCGGGCAUUGACCCCAGAAAGGUGUGUCUGGCCAGAGUGAUCGAGUGUAUUGGGUAACGUGGUGCAUCCCUGCAGGGAAGAUUAUCUAUUGAUAGCCGUGUCCACAGUAACGGACGUUCAGACUUAUAUCUUGAUCUUAUACAACUACAAAUGGAUACUUGAGGUAUGUGGCUCCGAGAUUGCUUUCCCGCAGGGAGUCAGGGAAGGAUCUCUGGGCAUUAAUGUUACAACAUGUUUGUUAAUUAAACUGCUAUUCUUUACUCUCCUACAUGCUGCAAGAUGCUCGGAGCUGCUUGAAGACGCUAGUCUUCGUUAGGCUAGGCCUUCCCCUCUAUUCUGGCAUUCUGCAGUUCAGUCCACAGAUACAAACCUUCCAUUUUGAUACCAAUGCAUACUUAGUAUAGAUCUGAUAUCGAUGUUUGCGAGUAUUUUGGAUGAGUACUCACCGUUGCUUUGCUACCCCUUUUCCCCCAACUUUCUUCUUUCCGGUUGAUGCAACCAGAUGGUGGAUCCUUGGAGCCAGAUGCCCCGCCGAUGGAUGCUACUACGUGGAGACCGCCGACGACCAGGAGUAGUUAGGAGGUCCCAGACAGGAGGCCUUGCCUCUUCGAUCGUGUUGCUUUUGUGUUGGCCUUCUUAAGGCAUCCUUGUUUAACUUAUGUCUGUACUCAGAUAUUGUUGCUUCCGCUGACUCUUGUGUAUCGAGCUAUGUAUUCGUGCCCUCGAGGGCCUUGGCUUGUAAUAUAAAGCUUGUAUUAUUUUGAUUUGUAUCUAGAGUUGUGUUGUGAUAUCUUCCCGUGAGUCCCUGAUCUUGAUCGUACACAUUUGCGUGUAUGAUUAGUG
rnacentral:lncRNA from 1 species